CAGUUGUUAGACGCACCUGACGCGGUGCCGGCGGCGGUGCGCCGAGUAUGCGUUGUUGUCUUUGCAGCGGACUUUGCAGAUAUCGCACACCAGGCUGCCCGAGGACUGGGAACAAAACAAAAAAAAUAACAAGUAUUAAAAUCAAUUUUACUGGUAUCAAUCAGUAUUACUGGUGGCAGGACGUCUUGUGAGUUCGCACGGGUAGGUACCACCGCCCUGCUUAUUUCUGCCGUGAAGCAGUAAUGCGUUUCGGUUUAAAGGGCGGGGCCGCCGUUUUAACUAUAAUGAGACCUUAGAACUUAUAUCUCAAGGUGGGAAGGUGGGUGGCGCAUUUACGUUGUAGAUGUCUAUGGGCUCCGGUAACCACUUAACACCAGGUGGGCUGUGAGCUCGUCCACCCAUCUAAGCAACAAAUAAGCAAUAAAACAAGCAUUAAAAUCCACUAUUUUACAUUUACAUGGACACACAUAAAAAUUUGUCAGCGCACAUCUACAUAUGUUAUAUUACCAUCUUACAUACCAUUUGUAUAUUACCAGCAGCUUCAUCCACGUGGUCAAUAAAAGGAUAUCAUGACAGUCCGUCGCUUCAGUUCAACGUGAAAGAGAGGAAGAAACCAACACAUCUUCACAUCUGCAACAUUAGUAUGGAUGAUCUGACGUGUGCCUCUCACCGGGUCGUGCUUCUUCAUGUGGUUGAGCAGCUUGGACUUGUGGUUGAAGCCGACGAUGCAGUCGGCGCAGCGGUAGUCGUGCCUCGUGAACGCGGCGCUGUCCAGGGCCACUCGCCGCUCCUGCGCCACCUGCGGACACGGACUAGUCACGUCUCCACCCGGCAGAACCCUCAGAGGCAGCACUGGUGCUCACGGACAACACUGACUAACUCAACCCGUUAUUUGAAGUGACCAAACCCAACUAAUUAAUGUUUUAAGCACUGAAUAUAAUUUAAAAUAAACAAUAAUUAAUUCAUGAA